UUUAAUAAAAAUUGAAAAUAGAAAUGAAUUUUUUCUCUUUCUGUAUUCAAGAAAAAGAAAAUAAGCAUAGAAGAGAAAAAAAAAAGAAAAUUGAAUAGAUGGAGCUGGUAACAGAUUGAAGUAGGACUGAAAUUACUUUGUUUUCCACUAGAAGUCAGACUAUGUAGUGCUUUAUAGUCCAUAAACUAAGCAGCCGGUGUGAUUUGUGUUCUUGACGAGUGAAAUUGGCCCAGUUGGGCGGGGCUCAGUGUAACAGCUCAGCUCUCCACUAGAUGGCACUGCUAGCCUACUGGGUGGAGUGUUGUGGUGCUCGUAGGUGCAUAUGCGCAUGCACGGGAGCGGCGAAAAUGGUGCCACCCAGCUACCCAGUCUCUAGUUUGGGAACUCUGUUCUCCAGGGUCAGCAAUCACGCACCUGUCCUCUGUCUUCAGCUUUCGUCCACUCCCCACUUUUUCACUCUCUGUGACCAGACCCCAGGCAGUACCUCUCUCCCGAGUUUUGUCUCAGAUGUAGCUGUUUUCCCUGACCCCUUACUUCUGAAGGACUGUGGCUUUGACCCGUUCAGCCCCUCUAUGGGAGGGUCUCACCGAGCAAUGACCAAAUGAGCAAUGGCCAAAUGUUGGCUGCACCCAGGAACGCUUGCUGGACCCUGCUGCUGCCGGUGCCCCAAGACUGCAGCCAGGUGCCAGCCCGAAAAAGUUCACGAGUUAGUGUAGCAGCAGCUUUUCAGGGAUUAUGGGAAAUCACAUCACACAUCUGGCACCAGGCUUUACCCUUAACCACCUUGUUCCAGCACCAGUGAAUGUGGUCAUUUUCUGGGGUCUGCUUGGAGCAGGUGGCUUCAACAGUCUCUACCAAAUGUCCUUCCGGCAGUGGAACUGCUUUUUCCUGUGUGGCCCGAGAACCUCCCGGACCCCACUCUGUUCCUGGGGAUUCGCCCUUCCCACCAGAGCACCACCAGGUAUCAAGCUGCGGAACUGCAGUCUUUGCGAUCCCCUUGUUUACAGUCUUAAUGGAAUUUAAACCCUCUCCUUUCUCUUUUCCCCCUUUUUAGUUUGGUCCCUGUGGCUGUUUCCAAUUUUCUACUUUCUCUCCAGCUGCUUUUGGGGAGGGGUGCUUUUCUUGUAUUCUCUCCCCCCCCACCCAGUCUCCGUCCUCUCUCCACUUGCAAAAGCACCUCCCUUCCUGUGCCUUCUCGCUCCCCAAGUUCACUUCUCCGCACCGGGUGCCUGCUGAAUUCUGUGGUUCAGGUUGUGCAGAUUGUUGUGUUAAUCCUCCAAUCAGUUUUCUAGGUGUGCAGGAUGGUUUAGUGUUGGUCUGGCUGUUAUUUCAUGGAUGGGAGACACACAAAAAAACUUCCAUGAUGUUCCCCUUCAGUAUCAUUUCUAAUGUUACCUAUAUUAUGUAUAUACAUAAACUAAUUUUAUAGACAGUAAAGAAGGUAUUGAAAAAACUACACAUUUCUAAAUUAAUAGUCCUUAAAUAUUUUGUGGUUAAUACAUCUAUACCAAUAAUUCAAGUAUGUCUAAGAUUUAUUUUUAAAAAUCACUGCUGCUAUUUGAUUACCUCUGUUCACUAGCUAGUUGAGAAGGACUAGAUGGAAUUCUAUAUCGGUCACUGCAGAACUAAAGAUCAAUGAAGUUGAAGCUUACUACAAGCACCAAGAGAAAAAUAUUACAACAGUGCCUCAGCCACCUCUGGGAUAAUAUCAGAUCUUCUAACAUUCUUGUUUUUCAAAUCCUAGAAGCUGGGGUAGGAGAGACAAAAACAAUGUAAGAAAUAAUGUCUGAAAAUUUCCCUAAUUGAUGAAAACUAUAAACUCACAGAUCCAAGAAAUUCAACAGGAAGGGUGACACAUAAAGAAAACCUCUCUAAGGUAUACCAUGAUCAAACCAGAGAAAAUUGUAAAGCAUCUGGAGAAAAAAAAAAAAGGAUACAUUCCAUACAGAGAAUGACUGUAUAUGUCUUUUCUCAAAGUGGAAAUUAGAGACCUUGGCAUAACAUCUUUAAAGUGCUUAAAGAAAAAGCUUGGCAACCUAAAUUAUAUAUUCAGCCAAAAUAUCCUUCAGAAAAGGUGAGAAAAGACUUUUUCAGACAGGGAAAAGAUGAGUAAAUUUGUUGCCAGUAGACCAGCACACCUGGUUUAUAAGAAAUGUUAAGGACCAAUGCACAGAAUGGAGUUCAGAAAUAGAUCCAUGCCUAUUGGACAUUUGGUUUUUGACAAAAGUGCGAAAGUAAUUUAGUAAGGAAAAGGCAGUCUUUUUUAAGUUUAUUUAUUUUUGAGAGGGAAAGAGCGUGCAUGUGUGUGCAUACGAGUGGGGAAGAGCCAAAGAGGGGACGAGAACCCCGAUGUGGGGCUUGAUCCCAUAAACCAUAAAAUCAUGACCUGAGAUGAAAUCAAGAGUGGGACGCUUAAUUGACUAAGCCACCCAGGCACUCUGAAAGGUAGUCUUUUUAACAAAUGGAAAAAUUACAUAUUCAAAUGGGAAAUAAAGCUCAACUUUUGCCUCACACCAUACAUAAUUUUAGUACAAAAUUGAGAUUGUGAAAUGGGUCAUAGACUUAAAUAAAAGCUAAAACUCUAGAAAUUCUAGACAGAAAUUGAAUUUUGAAAUCACUUUCUUUUGAUAGACAAAGAUUUCUUAAGACACACAAAGCAUGAAUUAUGAAGAAAAAAAUAAUUGGAAUAUAUUAACAUUAAAACUUAUGCUAUAUUUGGGAUAAAUAUAUUCGACAAAAGACCUAUACUUGGAAUAUAUACAUAAUGCUUAUAGGUCAAUAAUGAGCUAAAUAUUGAGCAGGGAAAAGCUCCAGCCUAAUUCCAAGCCCCUGAGGCUUCCAGGUGUCCACUGGAACUCCCUGCUGGCUUCAAGGCUGCACAAAAGGCAAAGUGCCCACCUUCAGGGCUGAUGUGCCAGGUUAUUCCUGGGGUCAGAACAUCCUCAUGGAGCAAGAAAGAGGCCUUCUUCGAACAACCUCCAGUUAAAAUCUGUCCUGGCCUCUGAUAGAAACCCACUAAAAGCAAACAUGCUGUAUGACCAUGGGGAAUCACCAGGAAGGCUCUCUCCAGUUAUGUAAACUGCAAGAGAGAUCUCACCUAAUAAAGGGUUUAAGGAAAUUAAAAAAAACAAAAAAACAAAAAAAUGUCAAUGGAUGUUCCAUAAAAGACAUUAAAAUUGCCAAUAAACACAUAGAAGGAUGUGCUACAUCCUUAGUCCAUAGGAAAAGAAAACCACAUGGAGAUACCACUACAAACCCACCAAAUGGCUUCAAUAACAAAAACUGCCAGUACCAAAUAUUGAUGAAGAUCUGAAGCAGCUGGAACUCUCUAAUAUUGUCAGUAAUCAAAAUGGUACGGCCAUUUGGAAGGUAUUUUGGCAGUUUCUUAUAAAGUUAAACAUGUGCUUACCAUAGGAUCCAGCAAUUUUAUUCCUAGGUACUUAUCCAAGAGAUGUGAAAACAUACAUCUACACAAAGUGUUGAAUGUUCAUAACAGCUUUUUUCUUAAUGACUCCAAGCUGGAAAGACCCCCAAAUGUUCAGUAGAUUGAUGGAUAGAUAAUCGAGUGAAGGAAGCCAGAUACAAGAGAGGACUUACUGUAUAAUUAUAUUUCUGUGAAAUUCUAGAAAAGUUAAAACAUGUUCAUUGCAGCAUUAUUUACAAUUGCCAAGGUAUUAAAUUGGGAGCCAGUUAUUUUGUCUAAAGGGACAUAAGUUUGGUUUGAUUUCUAGCUAGUUAACCAUUUAAAGCUCUUUGAAAAUGUUCAGCUACGUGUUAGAACUCUCCAAAUUGGCAAAUUUCCAUUUCAUUGUACUUUUUCUGAUUAAAUCCCCUAUUUUAGGUGUGAGCCCAGUCAUGCUAAGAGAACAAAGUUCCUUUCUUUCAGGUGGUGGGUGUACUCUGUCUACUCUAACUGUUUAAAAGUUUCCUGAAGUUUAUUUUUAAAGUCUGUUAUUAAUUUACCAUCACUUCCUUUACAAUUUUGAAUCUGCCUUCAAUUAUCCAUAACAGAAAAAUGACAUGUCCCUAUGUAGUGCAAUUCAUAUAUAUAUAUUUUUCCCUUUCAAAGCCAUUUUCUUAUCCACAGUUGGGUUAUUUAAAUCUCCUCCUGCUGUCCCCCAUCCUGCUGCUUUUAAUCAUUUUUUUGCUUUUUGAGAGGCUAGAAAUUAAGCAAGCUAACUGUAUAAAUUAGAUAGCCAGGGAAGAUACAUAUACAGUAAAACCUUGGAUUGCAAGUAACUUGUUCUGCGAGUGUUCCUCAAGAGGAGCACACAUUUCUGGGGCACCUAGGUGGCUCAGUCGGUGAAGCGUCUGACUUUGGCUCAGGUCAUGAUCUCACCAUUCUUGAGUUUGAGCCCUGCAUCGGGACCUGUACUGACAGCUCCGAGCCUCUCCAAGCCUGUGUCUCCCUCGCUCUCUGCCCCUCCCCCACUCAUGCUCUGUCUCUCAAAAAUAAAUAAACAUUAAAAAAAAGAUGAACAAGCAUUUAUAGUAAAUUUUAACUUGAUAAAUGAGCAAUGACUUGAAUUACAAGCAGCAUGUGACGUCCAAUGUCACAUGAUCACAACUGGGCCAAUGGUUCUCUCUCUCACUCUCUCUCUCUCUCUCUCUCUGCGGGAUUGUGGGUGAUCAUCUCCUAUGCUUGGAUGCUCAGUCUCAGGGUAUGGUGUUUGGCAGAAAUUAAUGAUUUUUCACAACGUUGGAAGGUGCCCACAACUGGUACCAGUGUAAUUUUUAUCACUUCAAAGCACGUAUGGAGAGUCCUUUCUUUUUCCAUGCAAGAGUAAGCUUAGGAAUGCUUUGCUUCAUUCUAGGUCAGGCUGUCUAGAGAUAUAGACCCUUUCCUCUGCUGUCUUAUUGCCAGUUACAUUAAAUACAGUAUAUUACAAGAGUUUAUUAGUAAGUACUGUAGUCAACACCUGUGCAAGCUAAUAUAAUGGCCCCAUGCAGAAAAAGAUUCCAUUGAGCCAAUAGAUAGCAGUGAUUCCAUUAGCAAUAGUGGAAGUCGUCCUGCACAGUAACCCUCCUCUCUCUUUUCUCUCUCACACCAGCCACAAAGGUUUCCAAAGGGGAGUGGUAUCCGUCUUCUUCUGUGAAAGCCUUCAACUGAUUAAAUGAGGCCCACCCACAGUAUGCAAGAAAAUCUGCUUUACUCAAAUCUCCUGAUUUAAAUGUUAAUCUCAUCUAAAGAUACCUUUAUAGAAACGUCUAGAAUAAUGUUUGGCCAAAUAUCUGAGUGUAAUGACCCAGCCAAAUUGACUCAUAAAAAUAACUGUCACAGGUACAAGAUACAACUACAUACUCUCUCCUUAGAGUCAAAAAACAUUAACAUUUUGCCAUAAUGUUUGCUCUUUCUCCCACCUCUCUACAUAUACAGUUUUUAUCUAAAUCAUUUGAAAGUAAGUUUCAGGCAGUGUAUAUUUCACUCCUAAAUAUUUCAACAUGCAUUUCCAAAAAAAAAGGACAUUAUCCUACAUAAAUAUCAGAACAUUAGCAAUAAUUCCACAAUAUCAUCUAAUAUUUAAGCCAAGUUUAAAGUCCCACCAAUUGUCUUUAAAAUAACUUUAAACCAAGAUCCAAUCAAGGUUUAUACAUUGCAUAUAGUUAUCAUGUUUCUUAAGUUCUUUUAAAACUUUUAAAGGAGAGGAGCACCUGGGUGGCUCAGUCAGUUAAGCGUCCGACUUCGGCUCAGGUCAUAAUCUCACGGUCUGUGAGUUCGAGCCCUGAGUCGGGUUCUGUGCCGACAGCUCAGGGCCUGGAGCUUACUUCUGAUUCUGUGUCUCCCUCCCCUCAGCUCCUCCCCUGCUCACACUCUGUCUCUCUUUCAAAAAUAAAUAAAGAUUAAAAUAACAUUUUUUUCAAACUAAAAACACUUUUAGAAUAUCCUUCAUUCAUUUUUAUGACAUUGUAAUUUUGAGGAGUCUAGGGUAGUAAACACAUAGCAUGUCCCAUAUAUGGAAUAUGUGUUGUUAUUUUAUUAUGGUGUCAUUUUUGUAAGCUGGCUGGAACUUAGGGCUAAAGGUUUGAUUAGAUUCAAGUUAAACAUUUUUGGCAAGAAUAUCCUACAAGUGAUCUGUGUACUUCAUAUCAUAUAUAUAUGUAUGUAUAUAUAUGUUUGUGUGUAUAUAUAUAUGUAUAUGUAUAUACACAUAUAUAUGCACAUACACAUAUAUUUACACACAUAUAUACACAUAUAUACACACAUAUAUAUGUGUGGUAGGCUGUAUAAGUCUCCAGAGAUGUUUAUAUCCUAAUGCCUGGAAUCUGUGAAUAUGUUACCUUACAUGGCAAAAUGAUAGUUUGCAGAUACCGUUAAUGAUCUUGUGAUGGGGAGAGUAUCCUGGAUUCUCUGGGUGAGCCUGAUGUUAUCACAGGGGUCCUUAUAAAAGGGAAGUAGAUAGGUUAGAGUCAGAGAGAAGGAGAUGCAAUAAUGGAAGCAGAGGUGGGAGUGAUGCGAGGCCGUGAGAGCCAAGGAAUGUAGACAGCAUCUAGAAACUAGAAAAGGCAAGAAACAGAUUUGCCCUAGAGUCUGCAGAAUGAAAACAGCCAUGCUGACCCAUUUUAGACUUCUGACCCCCAGAACUAUAAAAUAAUAAAUCUGUGUUGUUUUAAGCCACUAAGAUUGUAGUAAUUUGUUAUGUCGGCAAGAGGAAAUUAAUAUACAAGAUGAUCCUUGCAUGAAUUUCUAUUACAGUUUGCAAAAUAAUGAUUCUCUAAUUCCAUAAUACCUUCUAUUGGCACUCUAUAAAACAGAGCCCCUUCCCUUCAAAAAAAUAAAUCACCGCAAACUCAUGAUUUUUAAUCAUCCAAUGUAAUAUCAAUUAUAGUUACUGUUCUCUUGAGGCUUAACUAGUCCCCAUUUUGGCUAAUGGGAGUCCCUAUAGUUUGUUUACUGUGACAGGUUAAAGACUAUCAUCACCCUGUUUUUUAGUUUUUGAAUGCUUCUGCAUUUUUUAGCAUAACAAAAUGUCCCAGGAUCUUCAUAUCUAUUUCCUGCCUCAGACUUGAAAAAAAUCAAUGUUACCUCAAAGAAUCAUGAUUUCUUUUCAGAAUGAUUGCUAUAGACUGAAUGUGUCCCUCUCAAAUUCAUAUAUUAAAAUCCCAACCCUCAAUAUCAUGUCAUUAGGAGAUGAAGCCUUUGGGAGGGAUUCAGUAAUGGGGGAAGAGACCUCAUGAGUGGAUUAAUGCACUCAAAAAAGAGACCCCAGAAAGCUCCCUAGCUCCUUUGCCAUGUGAGGACAUAGUGAUAAGAUGGCCAUUUACAGUCCAGGAAGGGGAUUCUCACCGACACUGAAUCUGCGGUCACUUUGAUCUUGGACCUCCCACUCUCCAACUAUGAGAAAUAAAUGUUUGUUGUCUAAGCCACCCAGUCUAUGGUAUUUUUAUUACAGCAACCUGAAUGGACCAAGACAGGAUAAUGUUUAGAAACCAAGCUUUGGGUAUCUUGAAACAUUGAAUAUCUGCAAGAGAAUGCUCAUAUUUAUAUAUAUUUUCAAAUUUGGAUCAUUUAUCUAAAGUAACUUUGGGGCAGCUAAAUGUAGACUGUUUUCUUUUAUUUCUGUCAACAUUUAAAAUAAUUCCUUCCCUUUCACUCUCUAUGCCCUGGCCCAGAUUUAUUUUGGUUUAUAGGACUUAUCAUAUCUGCCAUUGUAGUAUAUAUUACUUUGUUGAUUUAUUCCAUUGUCUGUCUUUCCAACUAAGGCAAGGACUUUGUCGAUCUUGGUCAUUGCUGUAUUUCCUGGGCCCAGAACAAUAUCCGGUACAUGGCAGACCUCAGGAAAUAUUAGUUGAAUGAAUAAAUCAAUGAGCAAGCCUCACUACUACUGAGUUUCCAUGCUCACAUGACAGGAACAUUUUCCCUCCUGCUUUUGAUUUGAUGCCCUAGCAAGGCGUAUGUAGUUUCUUUUAUUAUGUAUAAUCCCCUUCUCAAUGGGUAAAUGGUAUAAUUUGAUAGGUGAACUUGCUUUUACAGUCCUAUAAUAAAUGUCAUUUAUUCUAAAUA